AAAGUACUCCCUCCGUCCCAAAAUUCUUGUCUUAUAUUUGUCUAGAUACGGAUGUAUCAAGUCACAUUUUAGUAUUAGAUACAUCCGUAUCUACACAAAUCUAAGACAAGAAAUUUGGGACAGAGGGAGUAGUUG
rnacentral:pre_miRNA from 1 species